GACGGGGGAUGCAAGUGUUAUCCGGAAUCACUGGGCGUAAAGCGUCUGCAGGUGGUUUCCUAAGUCCACUGUUAAACCUUGAGGCUCAACCUCAAAUCUGCAUUGGAAACUAGGAGACUUGAGUAUAGUAGGGGUAGAGGGAAUUUCCAGUGGAGCGGUGAAAUGCGUAGAUAUUGGAAAGAACACCGAUGGCGAAGGCACUCUACUGGGCUAUUACUGACACUCAGAGACGAAAGCUAGGGAGCAAAUGGG
rnacentral:rRNA from 1 species